rnacentral:lncRNA from 1 species
GCAGGACUCCUUUUCUGAGAGUUCUUACUUCUAACAAGGAAGAAGACUUUCCUGCUUCUGCGACGGCAGAGAGCAGUUUUCAGCUUGGGCCCCAUCUCCAGAAUGGCUGGAGCAGUAGCUACCACUUUGUGACCAAGAAGGAAAGGCUGAGAGAAUCACAGAGACCUUAACUCUGGUGUCAUUGAACCACCUGCUUUCAGACUCCUCACUAUGUGAGAAAAAUGACUCCCCAAUUUGCCUGAGCCUCCGUUUCUUAGGUUUCUAAAUAGAUAGCCAAAUGCAAUUCUGAAUCAAUACAAAGAAAAAUGUUAAAACCUCUCAGAGGUA